rnacentral:lncRNA from 1 species
CCCACCUCUCCUGAGGCUCCUCCCUUCUCCACCUCUCUGAGCCAUCCCGCAAGGCAUUGGGUGUUUUCCACCUAUUCCCUAAGCUUUUCCAGAAAGCCUAGCCCUUGGAGAGCCUCUCUAGUCCCUGAGCACUCCUAGUCCUCAUGGCCUGUGGUGUUUAUUUGACACCUAUCCCUGUCUGGGUGGCUCACUGGAUGUGCACAGGGCAUCUCCCUAACUGGAUGACAGGACCUUCUGCUCUUUCACUCUAGCUUGUUCUCUUAGGACACCAUCUCUAGGAAGAGGGGUGGCCAACCAAGACAGACGGGUCGCCAGGGCCCCCAUUCCCACUCUGGUUAAUAAUGAUCUCCCUUCCCCUCUGCUUCCCAGUACCAGAGAUGUCUCCAAGAGCACCAGCAACCCCAGCUAUCUGGAUCUGAAGUGGAUAUGCUCAGAGGCGUCCUGGCCCACCCCACCCCCCACCCCAGAGAAGAUGCUGCUGCACUCAGAAGAUGCCAGAGCUAGCCACCACCCACACUGCAAGUCUGGAAGCUCUGCAAGGACCCAGCAAGGCAGCCUGCUCAGCGAAGGCUUUGUCUCCUGUGGCAGGAAGAGCAACAUUAAGAACAAGAAGCCCGGGCUGGACUACCCUUGAGAUUUAAUGACCAGAGGCCUUGAGGAAUGGUGCAGGUAAGCAAAUUAAGAAUAAAAAUAAGAUUGCAAAAAAUUGCACCACUUAAGG